rnacentral:sRNA from 1 species
UAUGAUAUUUUGCUAUAUCUGCCAAGUGU